GAUGAACGCUAGCUACAGGCUUAACACAUGCAAGUCGAGGGGCAGCACAGAGAUAGCUUGCUAUCUUGGGUGGCGACCGGCGCACGGGUGAGUAACGCGUAUCCAACCUGCCCAUUACUCUGGGAUAGCCUUGCGAAAGUAAGAUUAAUACCGGAUGUUGUUUAGAGUUCGAAUGAAUUUUAAACCAAAGAUUUAUUGGUAAUGGAUGGGGAUGCGUGACAUUAGGUAGUUGGUGAGGUAACGGCUCACCAAGCCUACGAUGUCUAGGGGUUCUGAGAGGAAGGUCCCCCACACUGGAACUGAGACACGGUCCAGACUCCUACGGGAGGCAGCAGUGAGGAAUAUUGGUCAAUGGACGAGAGUCUGAACCAGCCAAGUAGCGUGCAGGAUGACGGCCCUCUGGGUUGUAAACUGCUUUUAGUUGGGAAUAAAAAGAGGGACGUGUCCCUAAUUGUAUGUGCCAUCAGAAAAAGGACCGGCUAAUUCCGUGCCAGCAGCCGCCGUAAGAC
rnacentral:rRNA from 1 species